rnacentral:rRNA from 1 species
AGUGAACGCUGGCGGUAGGCCUAACACAUGCAAGUCGAACGGCAGCACAGUAAGAGCUUGCUCUUAUGGGUGGCGAGUGGCGGACGGGUGAGGAAUACAUCGGAAUCUACUUUUUCGUGGGGGAUAACGUAGGGAAACUUACGCUAAUACCGCAUACGACCUACGGGUGAAAGCAGGGGAUCUUCGGACCUUGCGCGAUUGAAUGAGCCGAUGUCGGAUUAGCUAGUUGGCGGGGUAAAGGCCCACCAAGGCGACGAUCCGUAGCUGGUCUGAGAGGAUGAUCAGCCAUACUGGAACUGAGACACGGUCCAGACUCCUACGGGAGGCAGCAGUGGGGAAUAUUGGACAAUGGGCGCAAGCCUGAUCCAGCCAUACCGCGUGGGUGAAGAAGGCCUUCGGGUUGUAAAGCCCUUUUGUUGGGAAAGAAAAGCAGCAGGUUAAUACCCCGCUGUUCUGACGGUACCCAAAGAAUAAGCACCGGCUAACUUCGUG